rnacentral:rRNA from 1 species
CCCUUAGAUGUCCGGGGCCGCACGCGCGCUACACUGAAGGAAUCAGCGUGGCUUUCUCCCUGACCCGAAAGGGUUGGGAAACCCGUUGAAUCUCCUUCGUGAUAGGGAUUGGGGCUUGAAAUUGUUCCCCAUGAACGAGGAAUUCCCAGUAAGCGCGAGUCAUAAGCUCGCGUUGAUUACGUCCCUGCCCUUUGUACACACCGCCCGUCGCUACUACCGAUUGAAUGGCUUAGUGAGCUCUCUGGACUGUUGCACUUCGGGGGCAACCCUGUUGAGCAUACGGGAAGGAGAUCAAACUUGAUCAUUUAGAGGAAGUAAAAGUCGUAACA